rnacentral:rRNA from 1 species
GAUGAACGCUGGCGGCGUGCCUAAUACAUGCAAGUCGAGCGAACGGACGAGAAGCUUGCUUCUCUGAUGUUAGCGGCGGACGGGUGAGUAACAUGUGGAUAACCUACCUAUAAGACUGGGAUAACUUCGCGAAACCGGAGCUAAUACCCGAUAAUAUUUUGAACCGCAUGGUUCAAAAGUGAAAGACGGUCUUGCUGUCACUUAUAGCUGGAUCCGCGCUGCAUUAGUUAGUUGGUAAGGUAACGGCUUACCAAGGCAACGAUGCAUAGCCGACCUGAGAGGGUGAUCGGACACACUGGAACUGAGAAACGGUCCAGACUCCGACGGGAGGCAGCAGUAGGGAAUCUUACGCAAUGGGCGAAAGCCUGACAGAGCAACGCCGCGUGAGUGAUGAAGGUCUUCGGAUCGUAAAGCUCUGUAAGUAGGGAGGAACAUAUGUGUAAGUAACUGUGCACAUCUUGACGGUACCUAAACAAAAAGCCACGGCUAACUACGUG